rnacentral:rRNA from 1 species
UACGGAGGGUGCAAACGUUGCUCGGAAUCAUUGGGCGUAAAGCGAGCGUAGGCGGUCUCGUAAGUCGGAUGUGAAAGCCCUCGGCUCAACCGAGGAAGUGCACCCGAAACUGCGAGACUUGAGUAUCGGAGAGGGUGACGGAAUUCCCGGUGUAGAGGUGAAAUUCGUAGAUAUCGGGAGGAACAUCAGUGGCGAAGGCGGUCACCUGGACGGUAACUGACGCUGAGGCUCGAAAGCGUGGGGAGCAAACAGG